ACAGCAGUCGCCGCGGGAAUACGUAGAUCCCGAGCGUUGUCCGGAUUUAUUGGGCGUAAAGCGAGCGCAGGCGGUUAGAUAAGUCUGAAGUUAAAGGCUGGGGCUUAACCAUAGUAUGCUCUGGAAACUGUUUAACUUGAGUGCAGAAGGGGAGAGUGGAAUUCCAUGUGUAGCGGUGAAAUGCGUAGAUAUAUGGAGGAACACCGGUGGCGAAAGCGGCUCUCUGGUCUGUAACUGACGCUGAGGCUCGAAAGCGUGGGGAGCAAACAGGAUUAGAUACCCGGGUAGUCCCUGUCUCUUAUACA
rnacentral:rRNA from 1 species